rnacentral:rRNA from 1 species
UGGGGAAUAUUGGACAAUGGGCGCAAGCCUGAUCCAGCAAUGCCGCGUGUGUGAAGAAGGCCUUCGGGUUGUACAGCACUUUUAUCAGGAGCGAAACGCUGUCGGCUAAUACCCGGCGGAACUGACGGUACCUGAGGAAUAAGCACCGGCUAACUUCGUGCCAGCAGCCGCGGUAAUACGAAGGGUGCAAGCGUUAAUCGGAAUUACUGGGCGUAAAGCGUGCGUAGGCGGUUUCUUAAGUCUGCUGUGAAAUCCCCGGGCUCAACCUGGGAAUGGCAGUGGAUACUGGGAGGCUAGAGUGUGUCGGAGGGUGGUGGAAUUCCCGGUGUAGCGGUGAAAUGCGUAGAGAUCGGGAGGAACAUCAGUGGCGAAGGCGGCCACCUGGGACAACACUGACGCUGAGGCACGAAAGCGUGGGGAGCAAACAGGAUUAGAUACCCUGGUAGUCCACGCCCUAAAAGCGAUGCGAACUGGAUGUUGGUCUCAACUCGGAGAUCAGUGUCGAAGCUAACGCGUUAAGUUCGCCGCCUGGGGGAGUACGGUCGCAAGACUGAAACUUAAAUGAAUUGACGGGGUCAUAGCUGUUUCCUG